rnacentral:rRNA from 1 species
GCCGCGUGAGGGAUGACGGCCUUCGGGUUGUAAACCUCUUUCAGUAGGGAAGAAGCGAAAGUGACGGUACCUGCAGAAGAAGCGCCGGCUAACUACGUGCCAGCAGCCGCGGUAAUACGUAGGGCGCAAGCGUUAUCCGGAAUUAUUGGGCGUAAAGAGCUCGUAGGCGGUUUGUCGCGUCUGCCGUGAAANUCCGGGGCUCAACUCCGGAUCUGCGGUGGGUACGGGCAGACUAGAGUGAUGUAGGGGAGACUGGAAUUCCUGGUGUAGCGGUGAAAUGCGCAGAUAUCAGGAGGAACACCGAUGGCGAAGGCAGGUCUCUGGGCNUUAACUGACGCUGAGGAGCGAAAGCAUGGGGAGCGAACAGGAUUAGAUACCCUGGUAGUCCAUGCCGUAAACGUUGGGCACUAGGUGUGGGGGACAUUCCACGUUUUCCGCGCCGUAGCUAACGCAUUAAGUGCCCCGCCUGGGGAGUACGGCCGCAAG